rnacentral:lncRNA from 1 species
UCCUUAAAUUUUUAGUUUAAAUUUGGAAUGAUGAAUUGGUCAAUUGAAGAAGUUUGUUCGCAUUUAGAGCAGGAAGGUCUUGGUGAUUUAAAAGAAAAAAUUGUUGAAGAAGAAAUUGAUGGAAAAACAUUGUUGAGUUUAAUGGAAACAAUGGUUUCAAAUUUGUGUGUAACAAUGCGAAAGCAAGUUAUGUUGUUGGAAAUAAUAAAGAAUCUUCAAGCACCGCCUGCACAACAAGUUAAUUUAAAUGUGUCUAAACUUGGUAUACUUCAGAGUAGUGCAUUAGAAGUGUGUUACACUGGUGCUAGGAAUAUUUUAGUAGGAUCCAUUAGAACUACGACACCAUGGCCAGUUCAGUAUCAACUACCUAUUUUACCACCAGCAGUUGUUAGAGCUUUGGAAUUUAAAGACUGUUGCUUUCUGCAGUAUAGGAGGAACAGCUGCAGGAACCAAUCAUACAAUUGAUACCAAUUGAUACAAUGUUUAUAUGAUGACAUCAACAAAUUUACAUUGUAUCCAUUCAGUACCCAAUAUUCAGAUGUGUUUGCCACCAUAUGUAGCAAGUAUCCAUAUUUAAAUGACUUCCCUUCAAGGACUGGUAGUUUAUCACAUCAAUACCUACUAUUGGUAAGUUGUUUGGUGAGGAUGAUUUAACUGUAGCAAAACAUCAUCUGGAUAUGUUAAUGGAAUAUCGUAAACUUCGUCCAGACAUGAAUAUGCUAAUUGAUCGCCAAAAAUGUAGUUGGUUUGUGCGAGCAACGGAUUUUGAUGGUCGAUUUCGUACAGUCGAUCUAAAAGCUAAAUACCCAUGGCUCUGCUGAAUUGAUGCUACAUUAAAUGGAGCUAUUCUAAUGUUGCCACGGUUAUUCAAAGAGUCUGUUGAAGCCUUGGUUACUUUUGAUAACACCCCAACGCUGAAUACACCUACUGUUGCAAUCCCCCGAGGUCAAAAGCUGACAUCAAAAUUUUGUUGUGUUAUAAUAGAUGGCCAAGAAAUAGUUGAACAUCAUAAUGAUGUUGAUAUCUCGUUAGGGAUGGCUUGUAUAUUUGCCUCCUAUUUUGUUUACAAUAUAAAAUACCCGGUUCAAUUAAAAAACACCUUAUUAUUUUAUGAGCACAUCAUAUUUGGCGUAUCAAACAAAGAAAUCCCUGUAACAAAUCGCAAAAUGGCAAAUACUUUGUACGAGAUUUAGCUAGUUUUACAAGGGAAUCUUAAUUAUACAAAUCUUUAAUGGAUUUUCACGAGUUUUAUCAAUAUCACAGAUAUCAAUAUUCACAGAUUUUCAAUCAUCAAUAGAAUCUGCGAAAACGAGCAUAUGAAAGACGCGAUACGGUUCAGAUUAAACUGUAGUUUAAAAAUAAAGCAAUUUUUGUAAAUUAUUUUGUAAUUUUUGUUUUUCUUGUAACAUAUGCGCUUCGUUAA